rnacentral:ribozyme from 2 species
AGCAGUUGGCUAGGGGUCAUAGUAGAAGUGUUCAUGCCACAACCCCUGUCAGGUAAUACCUAGUAAUACCUGCAAAUUCUGCU